GGGGGUGAUCUAUGUUUUGAAGGUACAUCCUGCCCAGUGAUAAUUCAACGGCCGCGGUAUCCUGACCGUGCAAAGGUAGCAUAAUCAUUUGCCCUUUAAUUGGGGGCUAGUAUGAACGGAUAAACGAGGUUAUCGCUGUCUCGUGAAAAUUAAGAAAAAUUAGUCUUCAGGUGAAGAAACCUGAAUAAGUUGAAAAGACAAGAAGACCCUAUUGAGUUUUAUCUAAAUAAUAUCAUUUAUUCUAAAGAUUUGGUUGGGGCGACUAAGGAGCAAGUAAACCCUCCUAUACUUUCAAGAGAGAUAUCUCAAUUUUAAGUGAACCUUUACUGAUUAACAGAAUCAACUACCAUAGGGAUAACAGGCUGAUUUUCUUAGAGAGACCACAUUGAUAAGAAAGUUUGGCACCUCGAUGUUGGCUUAGGGAUACCUUUAAAUGCAGAAGUUUAAGAGGUUAGUUUGUUCAACUAUU
rnacentral:rRNA from 1 species